ensembl:snoRNA LOC120097600 small nucleolar RNA SNORA17
UCUGACCUUAGAGGCAUUAUGGGUGUGGCAACUGUGUCACAUGUGUGUCAGUAGGUGGCAGAGAAGAUAGAGGCUAUGUCUGUGUUCAGUGUUCUGACCUACGAGCAUCUGAAUGAUUAGUAGCCUAACAUA